rnacentral:rRNA from 1 species
UACAGAGGUCUCAAGCGUUGUUCGGAUUCAUUGGGCGUAAAGGGUGCGUAGGUGGCGCUUGUAAGUCGGGUGUGAAAUUUCGGACGGCUUAACUCCGGAAACUGCAUUCGAUACUGCGGUGCUUGGAGGACUGGAGAGGAGGACUGGAAUUCAUGGUGUAGCAGUGAAAUGCGUAGAGAUCAUGAGGAAGACCAGUGGCGAAGGCGGGUCGUCUCGGACGAGUUCCUGACGCUGAGCACGAAAGGCCAGGGGAGGCAAAACGGG